GUGCCUUGAGGUUGCAAGCCCAUUUACCUAAACAAUUUUGGUCUGAGUGUAUUUUAGCAGCAACUUACUUGGUUAAUAGGUUGCUUGUUAAGAAAUUAGCAUGGCUAACACCUUAUGAAAAACUUUACAAUCAGGCACCAAAUUACAGUCAUAUGAAAGUUAUUGGUUGUUUGUCUUUUGCUACCAAUGUCUAUCCUCACAAGGAUAAAUUUUCUAAUAGAUCUAUUCCUGCUGUUUUCCAUGGUUACUCCAGUAAUAACAAAUGAUACAGAUUAUACAAUUUAAAUACUGGAGAAGUGUUUGUGAGCAGAGAUGUCUUGUUUUAUGAAGAUAAGUUCCCUUUCAAAGAUGAUCCUCAGCUUCGUAAUUCUUUUUCGUCUGAUUCUUUAGUUCUUCCUCUACUUUUUUCUUUUGUUGACUUUAGUCCUUCCUUUUCACAACUCCAAUCCCCCCACUUCUGAGUCAGCCUCUUCGUCUUGUCCGGUCCCAAAUCCAGAUACUUCACCUCAACCUUCUUUAGUUCCUUCUAGAAGGUCUACUAGAAAUGUUGUUAAACCAAGUUGGUUAAGAGAUUUUGUGGGUAUGGCUACCGCUACUUCUCAGAACAUAGUUGUUACAAAUGCAGGUAAUUUCCCUACUCAAAUCUUG
rnacentral:misc_RNA from 1 species